rnacentral:misc_RNA from 1 species
AUUAGAUCAUCUCAUCACGAGGCACUUGUUCUUUACAUACACAGAUCUUCCCCCAGGCCGAUUGACUGACUUGCGAGCUGCGGCUGUCAACAAUGAAAAUUUUGCACGUGUUGCUGUUAAGCACAGUCUUCAUUUACACCUUCGUCAUGGAUCCAGUGCUCUAGAAAAACAGAUUCGUGACUUUGUGAAUGAGGUUAAAAAUGAACUAUCAAAA